rnacentral:tRNA from 1 species
GUCGCACAGGCCUCAUGGUGAGGCGGCUGACUUCCAAGCAGCAGAACCGGGUUCGAUUCCCGGGUGCGGCU